ACAUACGCGCGUACAGACACUCAUUAUCUACCCUAUACAUAUAUGGAAAAAAUCAAGGCGGGCAACGGCGACCCUCACCUGCUCCUGAAAGUCUUCGAGAGAAGCCAAGAAGUUUGCGGGAUGACAUACAACAAGCCUACUAUAGACCAGAACAGCCAUUUAAAGCUAUACCAAAGCAGUAGGCCAUUCAACGCCCAGCAAAUGGCGGCGUUAAAAUGUUUGUAUCAAUGCCGAGAUGAGGAAGCGAGAAAAAUGGACGAGAGCACGUCCUCUCCUUAGCCGAGGUCCUUCCGCACGACACUCAAGGCGCGGCUGCAGUGUGCCAGCCGAUGCCGCCUUUUGUGAGGCCAAAUUUUGACAGAAAUAUAUCAAAUACUGGCUUCGUGUCGCCAGGUGUACUUGGACGAUGGCUUCGACGCCAGGUUCCCGGUACGCUGUACAUGAUGUACGACAGCAUGAGGAGGACAAAAACGACGGAGUUGAUCAGUCACCACAUGGAAAUGGCGCUCUGCAUCCAUGCAUGGCAUGUUCUUAUCAGGCACUACCUUCUGGCUACAUGUCAUAUCAUUUCCGCCCUACGUCCGACACAUAAAUUACCGAAUGAUAGCCCAGCCGGCCCUCCUUAGGCGGAAUGCCGUCGUCAAAGACGAACUGGUCGAGAAACUAAACCAGGUAAAAGUACAAGUACAGGAAGAACAGACCGCGGCUUCAACUAAUGUCGCCGGUCUAUCGGCUAGUCCACCACAGGCACAAUAACGCCGGCAAAAUAAUAACAGAAAGAAGUGGCAUAACAAAAAAGACACUACCAAAUGAAACUACGCGUCAAACUCAACAUGUAAAUACUAGUAAAAAUGACAACUUUACCUCUGGCAUGAAGCGGAAACCGACCCAAUAGUUGUAUGACUAUAAUCAUUAUUCUAGAUAUCGCCCUUAAAGAUGACCUUGAUGUUCCAAGAUCCCAGUGUCGCCAGACGUUGCUUCUUUUCUGAGAAGCGAAAUAUGUAUGGUGUAAUGUACUGAAGGUCCCCUUAACUAAAUGCACAUUUAGAGCUAGUGUCAGAUUUGACAACGGAUAGCUUUCUGGGAGCUCUGAAAACAUUUAUAGCUCGAACAAUAACACUCUAACCCUAACAACUUACCCUGAGCCUGCAAUAACUUCCAACAACAUCAGCAGUCUCACCUUUUGGAAAAAAUGUACAAAGAUACAUCAAGAUUUUUGGAAAGCAUGGCAUAAAAGCUA